AGACUGUCCUGGAGUGUUUGUGCUAUCUGACUCUUGGAACUGCGCACCAAUUUCUCUCUGGCUGACCAUGCAAUAACUAUUUUGCAAUUAAAUCUGUUUGGAAAGUCCUGAAGGUGCAGUUCUGUAAUAACCCUUUCAAUAAUUAGGGUGUUGCACAGAGAAGUGUGGUGAACAUCCAGCAAACAAAAGAACUAAGAACUAUGUAGAACCUGAUAUUGUCUUGUCAGCUAUAUUACUACCCUUAGCUAUGUUAUGGAACAAAGUUUAUGGUGUCUAAACUCCUUGAAAGACUUAUUCUAUUUUACUUAACUAUGCUGAACUAAUUUGUUAUUUGAUUUUUAUAGAGUUAGCCAGAGAGAGAGAGGAAGUGUUAGCUGACGCGGGGAUGAAUGUAGUAUGUAUCUUUCAUGUAUGUUGAGUGUGCCAAGAAUGGAUUCCCAUGUUUUGAGGAAAUGAGUGUGGAUAUGACUGGUUUUGACUGGACCGUUGGAAAAGGGACAUGAUUAGGAGACAUAGGACGCAAGGUCCUAGUUGGAAUUAUUGUCAGAAUUGCAAGCUAGAAUAUAGUUUAUCUCAAGAUUUAAUAUGUAAGUGGGCCUUUUCAAUCAAGGGGAUGACGUCUACACGGUCGUGGUUCCCACUCGGGGUUUCCCCAGAUGUGCUUUUCCCUCAAAUAUGAGUUUUUUUUUUUUUUUACCUGGCCCCAGAUC